GCAGAUGCAAAUGAGACCUAGUUUAGCAACAGCAUAACUUUUUAACACAACUUUUUUUUUUUUUUCCAUACAGAAUUACAUUUUAAGGGCUGAAUGGAAACCACAUGAAGAAAGCAGAUAUAAAUGUCCUUAAUGCAAAUCUGCAAUACUGUUUUUGCUGACUUAUUUUCCCCCUGCUUUCAUGUCCAGCCAGUCAGUCAAGCCUGCUUCAUGUCCCUUACAGACUGCUUGCACUCUGAAGACAUGAAAAUUGAAAACGUUUCAAAGAAUCACAGAAUGGGCAAGGUUGGAAGGGACCUCUGAAAUCAUCCAGUCCAACUCCCUGCCUUGCAGGAUGCACAGGAUGGCAUCCGGGUGGGUUUCGAAUAUCGCCAGAGAAGGAGACUCCACAACCUCUCUGGGCAAACUGUUCCACUGCUCUGUCACCCGGUUCAUCUCUUUUUCCUGCAUUCUGUGAAGGGAAAGUAUAUUUCUUAGAAUUUUUUUUUUUUAAUGUAAGUGCACAUUUGGAAAAAGCUAUUGAUGCUAAUGAGUAUUUAUUCCAGAAAUGGGAAGGUUGAAAAAUCUUCUGGUGAAGGAGACUCAAGAUGAACAACAACCUUCUAAAACAGGAAUGAAUUUGAUUGUGUCUUUUUUUAAAGCCUGCUACCAGUGAUAUCCUAGAAAUAAUUAGUAAGUCACUGUUAUUUGCUUCUUUUUUGUUUCUGACUAGCCGAGCAGGACACUGCAUUCAAUGCUAUGGUAAAAAUCUGAGUUGGAGUACUUGUGUGAUUUUAUAUUUUAAAUUAGACACAGAUCAUGCAGAAUGUACUGCUAACUCACGUGGUGCAGGUUAAUUUGUAUCUAUAAAUACCCCUGAAAAAUAUAUAUGUUCCCAG
rnacentral:lncRNA from 1 species